GGGCAGGGCAGCUCAGUGGUUAGGAAUACAGAUGCAGAGGGGUCCGGGGUAGUCGGUGUUGGAGGGGAUGACAGGCGCCGGCGACAUGGUGUCGAAGGUGGAGCUGGGCUGUGCGUAGGGAGAGUGGGUAGGCACGCUGGCGGCGUGCUCUGGGGUGUAGGGGCUGGCCGAGGCCGCGCGGCUGCUCAUCUGGUCCAUGGUGCUGCUCAGCAGAUUGAACUGGGCCUGGCGCGGGAAAGGGGAGGAGGGAGGGGGAAACACACACAGUCAGUCGUCCUGUCCCGUCUAGGAGGUGUCCUGUUACAGGAGCCUUAAAGGGCCAGCGGCUCCAGUCAUCCCAAAUAUUUCCCCGGGUCUCUCCCCCAUCCCAACAGGCCACUACUUGCAUUGGGAUAAACUGACAUAUUCACCUCGCCCUCCCCUCCAUCAGCCUCCCGGUGCCAGGGUUUCUGGGGAUCCACCCAGACGUUGAUGAGGCGGAAUAGACUCUCUGCACACCUGGAGGGGAGGCGUCGGGUGGGGGAGGCUCCCAGGCCCUGAUGCCCACACGGGCUUCACUGCACCCUCCGGGCGGCAUCCGGGUCUGGACCUCACAGCUCAAAGUAGGGAGAUCCAGCCCCAGGGAGCCAGGCAGUGGGGGAGGUGGGCUGGGCACAAGUGGGCCCUGAGUGCAGGGUGCGCACACCUGGGCUUGGGUGCGUGGGUGCCCCUGAGGUGCUGGAGACCAGAUCCGGGCUCUCACUAGGUCUGGCCCUCUAGGUGGUGGGAUAAGGUGGGACUGCUGUUCAAUGGCUGAGCCCAAUUUUCCCAGUUGGGCGGCCUCGUCUCUUGGUGAAUGGCCUCACCCCGACUGGAAAGGCCGCUCCACGCUCAGGGGCCGGCAAAGCCUCACCCCUGCUGCCCCCUGGCCCGGGGUUCUCUCGCUAGGCCCCUACCCGCAGCUCCCCCGCCAGGACCACACACCAAGGAACAGGAACCCCUGUGGGUGUGUCCCCUGCGCCACCCUCUGUGGGGCCCCGGGACCCCAGCAUGGAUCAGCCUCUGCCAGGAGCUUAAGGGAGGCCCCAGCUGAGGGAGGGGGUGCUGGUCCGGCCUCGAUGUCUCAGAUCCAGGGCAGGGCAGACCUCACUUGGUGGGCUGCCGAGGAAGACCCUCCUUCCAAAUCCAGAGGCGGGUGCUGGAGGAAGACUGCACAUGUAUAAACAGCGCUUU
rnacentral:lncRNA from 1 species